rnacentral:lncRNA from 1 species
GCCGGGCAUGGUGGCGCAUGCCUUUAAUCCCAGCACUCAGGAGGCAGAGGCAGGCAAAUUUCUGAGUUCGAGGCCAGCCUGGUCUACAGAGUGAGUUCCAGGACAGCCAGGGCUACACAGAGAAACCCUGUCUCGAAAGAAAAAAAAAUUGUUGUUGUUGUUUUUCAAGACAGGGUUUUUCUGUGUAGCCCUGACUGUCCUGGAACUUGCUCUGUAAAUCAGGCUGGACUCAGCUCAGAGAUCUACCAGCCU